GUUGCUGCAGCUGGUGUUGUGAAUCAGGCCGACAAGCAGCUCAUCCUAUUACCCGGCUAUUUCACUACACCAGGGUUGCAUCA
rnacentral:pre_miRNA from 15 species